CCUACGGGAGGCAGCAGUGAGGAAUAUUGGUCAAUGGGCGCGAGCCUGAACCAGCCAAGUAGCGUGAAGGAUGACUGCCCUACGGUUUGUAAACUUCUUUUAUCAAGGAAUAAAGUGAGGCACGUGUGCCUUUUUGUAUGUACUUUAUGAACAAGGAUCGGCUAACUCCGUGCCAGCAGCCGCGGUAAUACGGAGGAUGCGAGCGUUAUCCGGAUUUAUUGGGGUUAAAGGGAGCGUAGGUGGGUUGUUAAGUCAGUUGUGAAAGUCUGGGGCUCAACCUUCAAAUUGCAUUUGAUACUGGCAGUCUUGAGUACAGUUGAGGUAGGCAGAAUUCGUGGUGUAGCGGUGAAAUGCUUAGAUAUGGCGAAGAACUCCGAUUGCGAAGGCAGCAUACUAGA
rnacentral:rRNA from 1 species